rnacentral:rRNA from 1 species
GUGCUUAACACAUGCAAGUCGAACGAUGAUCUCCAGCUUGCUGGGGGGAUUAGUGGCGAACGGGUGAGUAACACGUGAGUAACCUGCCCUUGACUCCGGGAUAAGCCUGAGAAAUUGGGUCUAAUACUGGAUACGACCUUCCCGCGCAUGCGGUGUUGGUGGAAAGCUUUUGUGGUUUUGGAUGGACUCGCGGCCUAUCAGCUUGUUGGUGGGGUAAUGGCUUACCAAGGCGACGACGGGUAGCCGGCCUGAGAGGGUGACCGGCCACACUGGGACUGAGACACGGCCCAGACUCCUACGGGAGGCAGCAGUGGGGAAUAUUGCACAAUGGGCGAAAGCCUGAUGCAGCGACGCCGCGUGAGGGAUGAAGGCCUUCGGGUUGUAAACCUCUUUCAGUAGGGAAGAAGCUGGUCCUUUUUGGGGUUGGUGACGGUACCUGCAGAAGAAGCGCCGGCUAACUACGUGCCAGCAGCCGCGGUAAUACGUAGGGCGCAAGCGUUAUCCGGAAUUAUUGGGCGUAAAGAGCUCGUAGGCGGUUUGUCGCGUCUGUCGUGAAAGUCCGGGGCUUAACCCCGGAUCUGCGGUGGGUACGGGCAGACUAGAGUGCAGUAGGGGAGACUGGAAUUCCUGGUGUAGCGGUGAAAUGCGCAGAUAUCAGGAGGAACACCGAUGGCGAAGGCAGGUCUCUGGGCUGUAACUGACGCUGAGGAGCGAAAGCAUGGGGAGCGAACAGGAUUAGAUACCCUGGUAGUCCAUGCCGUAAACGUUGGGCACUAGGUGUGGGGGACAUUCCACGUUUUCCGCGCCGUAGCUAACGCAUUAAGUGCCCCGCCUGGGGA